rnacentral:rRNA from 1 species
UACGUAGGGUGCUAGCGUUGUCCGGAUUUAUUGGGCGUAAAGAGCUCGUAGGCGGUUUGUCGCGUCUGCCGUGAAAGUCCGGGGCUCAACUCCGGAUCUGCGGUGGGUACGGGCAGACUAGAGUGCAGUAGGGGAGACUGGAAUUCCUGGUGUAGCGGUGAAAUGCGCAGAUAUCAGGAGGAACACCUAUAGCGAAGGCAGCUUGCUGGGACGUUACUGACGUUAAGGCGCGAAAGCGUGGGGAGCGAACAGG